rnacentral:rRNA from 1 species
ACCCGCUGAACUUAAGCAUAUCAAUAAGCGGAGGAAAAGAAACCAACAGGGAUUGCCCUAGUAACGGCGAGUGAAGCGGCAACAGCUCAAAUUUGAAAUCUGGCGUCUUCGGCGUCCGAGUUGUAAUUUGCAGAGGGCGCUUUGGCAUUGGCAGCGGUCCAAGUUCCUUGGAACAGGACGUCACAGAGGGUGAGAAUCCCGUACGUGGUCGCUAGCCUUUACCGUGUAAAGCCCCUUCGACGAGUCGAGUUGUUUGGGAAUGCAGCUCUAAAUGGGAGGUAAAUUUCUUCUAAAGCUAAAUACUGGCCAGAGACCGAUAGCGCACAAGUAGAGUGAUCGAAAGAUGAAAAGCACUUUGGAAAGAGAGUUAAAAAGCACGUGAAAUUGUUGAAAGGGAAGCGCUUGCAGCCAGACUUGCCUGUAGUUGCUCAUCCGGGUUUCUACCCGGUGCACUCUUCUAUAGGCAGGCCAGCAUCAGUUUGGGCGGUUGGAUAAAGGUCUCUGUCAUGUACCUCCUCUCGGGGAGAACUUAUAGGGGAGACGACAUGCAACCAGCCCGGACUGAGGUCCGCGCAUCUGCUAGGAUGCUGGCGUAAUGGCUGUAAGCGGCCCGUCUUGAAACACGGACCAAGGAGUCUAACAUCUAUGCGAGUGUUUGGGUGUCAAGCCCGAACGCGUAAUGAAAGUGAACGGAGGUGGGAACCUUUCGGGGUGCACCAUCGACCGAUCCUGAUGUCUUCGGAUGGAUUUGAGUAAGAGCAUAGCUGUUGGGACCCGAAAGAUGGUGAACUAUGCUUGAAUAGGGUGAAGCCAGAGGAAACUCUGGUGGAGGCUCGCAGCGGUUCUGACGUGCAAAUCGAUCGUCAAAUUUGGGCAUAGGGGCGAAAGACUAAUCGAACUAUCUAGUAGCUGGUUCCUGCCGAAGUUUCCCUCAGGA